AACUGCGUGGGAGUGUGUGUGUGUGUGUGUGUGUGUGUGUGUGUGUGUGUGUAGGCAGGUGACAGGCACACCCCCAACAGCCC
rnacentral:miRNA from 1 species